rnacentral:rRNA from 2 species
GCUAUACAUGCAAGUCGAGCGAACAGAUGAGAAGCUUGCUUCUCUGAUGUUAGCGGCGGACGGGUGAGUAACACGUGGGUAACCUACCUAUAAGACUGGGAUAACUCCGGGAAACCGGGGCUAAUACCGGAUAAUAUUUUGAACCGCAUGGUUCAAUAGUGAAAGACGGUUUCGGCUGUCACUUAUAGAUGGACCCGCGCCGUAUUAGCUAGUUGGUAAGGUAACGGCUUACCAAGGCGACGAUACGUAGCCGACCUGAGAGGGUGAUCGGCCACACUGGAACUGAGACACGGUCCAGACUCCUACGGGAGGCAGCAGUAGGGAAUCUUCCGCAAUGGGCGAAAGCCUGACGGAGCAACGCCGCGUGAGUGAUGAAGGUCUUCGGAUCGUAAAACUCUGUUGUUAGGGAAGAACAAAUUUGUUAGUAACUGAACAAGUCUUGACGGUACCUAACCAGAAAGCCACGGCUAACUACGUGCCAGCAGCCGCGGUAAUACGUAGGUGGCAAGCGUUAUCCGGAAUUAUUGGGCGUAAAGCGCGCGUAGGCGGUUUCUUAAGUCUGAUGUGAAAGCCCACGGCUCAACCGUGGAGGGUCAUUGGAAACUGGGAAACUUGAGUGCAGAAGAGGAGAGUGGAAUUCCAUGUGUAGCGGUGAAAUGCGCAGAGAUAUGGAGGAACACCAGUGGCGAAGGCGGCUCUCUGGUCUGUAACUGACGCUGAUGUGCGAAAGCGUGGGGAUCAAACAGGAUUAGAUACCCUGGUAGUCCACGCCGUAAACGAUGAGUGCU